rnacentral:rRNA from 1 species
AUUGAACGCUGGCGGCAUGCCUUACACAUGCAAGUCGAACGGUAGAGUAGCAAUACUCGAGAGUGGCGAACGGGUGAGUAACAUAUCGGAACGUGCCCAAUCGUGGGGGAUAACGUAGAGAAAUUUACGCUAAUACCGCAUACGAUCUAAGGAUGAAAGCGGGGGAUCGCAAGACCUCGCGCGAUUGGAGCGGCUGAUAUCAGAUUAGGUUGUUGGUGAGGUAAAAGCUCACCAAGCCGACGAUCUGUAGCUGGUUUGAGAGAACGACCAGCCACACUGGGACUGAGACACGGCCCAGACUCCUACGGGAGGCAGCAGUGGGGAAUUUUGGACAAUGGGCGAAAGCCUGAUCCAGCAAUGCCGCGUGCAGGAAGAAGGCCUUCGGGUUGUAAACUGCUUUGUUACGGAACGAAACGGUGAGC